GACGAACGCUGGCGGCGUGCCUAAUACAUGCAAGUCGAGCGCAGGAAAUCGACGGAACCCUUCGGGGGGAAGUCGACGGAAUGAGCGGCGGACGGGUGAGUAACACGUAAAGAACCUGCCCUCAGGUCUGGGAUAACCACGAGAAAUCGGGGCUAAUACCGGAUGGGUCAUCGGACCGCAUGGUCCGAGGAUGAAAGGCGCUCCGGCGCCGCCUGGGGAUGGCUUUGCGGUGCAUUAGCUAGUUGGUGGGGUAAUGGCCCACCUAGGCGACGAUGCAUAGCCGACCUGAGAGGGUGAUCGGCCACACUGGGACUGAGACACGGCCCAGACUCCUACGGGAGGCAGCAGUAGGGAAUCUUCCACAAUGGACGAAAGUCUGAUGGAGCAACGCCGCGUGAACGAUGAAGGCCUUCGGGUCGUAAAGUUCUGUUGUAAGGGAAGAACAAGUGCCGCAGGCAAUGGCGGCACCUUGACGGUACCUUGCGAGAAAGCCACGGCUAACUACGUGCCAGCAGCCGCCGUAAAAC
rnacentral:rRNA from 1 species